GGGGAAUAUUGCACAAUGGGGGAAACCCUGAUGCAGCGACGCCGCGUGAGUGAAGAAGUAUUUCGGUAUGUAAAGCUCUAUCAGCAGGGAAGAAAAUGACGGUACCUGACCAGAAAGCCCCGGCUAACUAC
rnacentral:rRNA from 1 species